rnacentral:rRNA from 1 species
AUACGUAGGUGGCGAGCGUUGUCCGGAAUUACUGGGCGUAAAGGGUGCGUAGGCGGGCAAUUAAGUCAGAUGUGAAAACCCAGGGCUUAACCUUGGGCAUGCAUUUGAAACUGGUUGUCUAGAGUGCAGGAGAGGGAAGCGGAAUUCCUAGUGUAGCGGUGAAAUGCGUAGAUAUUAGGAAGAACACCAGUGGCGAAGGCGGCUUCCUGGACUGUAACUGACGCUGAGGCACGAAAGCGUGGGGAGCAAACAGGAUUAGAUACCCUGGUAGUCCACGCUGUAAACGAUGAGUGCUAGGUGUAGGGGGUGUCAUGCCUUCUGUGCCGCAGUAAACGCAAUAAGCACUCCGCCUGGGGAGUACGGUCGCAAGACUAA